rnacentral:rRNA from 1 species
UCCUACGGGAGGCAGCAGUGGGGAAUAUUGGGCAAUGGGCGCAAGCCUGACCCAGCAACGCCGCGUGAAGGAAGAAGGCUUUCGGGUUGUAAACUUCUUUUAAGAGGGAAGAGCAGAAGACGGUACCUCUUGAAUAAGCCACGGCUAACUACGUGCCAGCAGCCGCGGUAAUACGUAGGUGGCAAGCGUUGUCCGGAUUUACUGGGUGUAAAGGGCGUGUAGCCGGGCUGACAAGUCAGAUGUGAAAUCCAGUGGCUCAACCACGGAACUGCAUUUGAAACUGUCGGUC